rnacentral:lncRNA from 1 species
AACUUUCGAUUAUUGAUGUACUUCUCAUCAAUUUUCAAUUAUUUGAUACACUUCUCAUCAAAAUUCUUUGGAACACUUAUCUUCAAAUUUUAAAAAAGAAUUUUGUCUUCUUCAAUAAUAUUUAUUUACUCAUUCUUCAAUUUACAAUUUUUUUUGUAUCUGCCUAAAUCUUUUAUAAGAAAAACAUUGUGAUUUACCUUUAUACUAACAAUCUUUUUCAUCAUGAUUAUUUUUCUUGCAUACUCCGCAUGAUGAAAAUUUUCUUUAUUUUGAUGCUGAUGAAGACUUGUUUAACAUCAUAGCGAUAAAAACUCACUCAAUUAUUUUUCAU